rnacentral:tmRNA from 1 species
GGGCUAGUAAAGGUUUCGACGGGGAUUUGGAAGUUGGAGAAGCUAUCCGCAGGAUGAUGCGUUAAAUCUCAAAACUAAAAAUAAACGCUGAAGAUACAGAUUUAGCUUUCGCUGCCUAAGCAGCGAGUGUUCGCCCCGAAGCACCUACACUUUGGGAACCGAACAUCGAACAUGUAGGAAACGACAUAUAUUAAGCUUUGCAUAUAUGGGCGUAAGAUGAAGCUACUAAAGCCGGAAGGAUGUUAGUUUCCGUCCGGGAGAGGGAAUGUAAAAGAACUGACUAUGAUAGUAGAAGUACAAUGGAAAGAUUUUCGGACACGAGUUCGAUUCUCGUCUAGUCCACUA